UUCCUAUUAAGCGAAAGGAUGGAUUUAAGUUAGAAUUAGAUCUUUGCUUUCAGGAACGCUUUGUUGUCCUUGCUUGUCAAGGAAAAAAAUGUUGUGUAUUAUAAGAACGUUUCCUCUUUCAGUAUGCAAAACCAGGGGACUCCCAUUCCUCCACAAGGGAAAUUUCAUUGGAAAAGAUCACUCUUUGUAAAAAGAGCAACCAAAGAGAACUUUUUGCUCUGUGAUUCUGCAGUAUGUUAGGCUUUUCUUGAGCUAGAUUAUAUAAAUAUAAAUAUAAAUAUAUAUGCAAGAGGCAACUGGUUUAGUGGGAUAUAUGACAUUUUAUAGAUAAGGAUUAUGUAACUUAAAUAAACGUGAUAUUAUGUUGUCACGUUCACAUAUAUAUAUACAUACGUACAAAAAGCUAAUAUAAUUAUGUGUUGUAUGUGUCAUUCACAUCCCUCAAACACAGCACAAACCUAAGCAGCUAAUUUAGAGACAGCAAUCAGAUCCCUCAGGAAAGUUACUGGUUCAAGUUCAUGAUGCACUUAUUUUACAGGCCGUGUGAUUCUGGACAAAGUCAUUUAACUUUUAAGUGAUUCAGAACAGGCUUGGAGAAUUUGAAAUCCAAAAUAAGUUUCCUGACCAGUUGGACCUUAGGCCAUAUUACAAGGUACUUGGUGAAAGUGCUGGCCCCUAGCAACUGGGUUAAUAGUAGAAGAAAUGAAUUCUGCAGAUACACUUGAUGAUGAAGAUACUUUUAAAAUUUUGGUUGCAACAGACAUUCAUCUGGGAUUUAUGGAGAAAGAUGCAGUCCGAGGAAAUGAUACAUUUGUAACGUUGGAUGAAAUUUUGAGACUUGCCCAGGAAAAUGAAGUGGAUUUUAUUUUGUUAGGUGGUGAUCUUUUUCAUGAAAACAAGCCCUCGAGAAAAACAUUACAUACUUGUCUGGAAUUAUUAAGAAAAUACUGUAUGGGUGAUCGUCCAGUACAAUUUGAAAUUCUCAGUGAUCAGUCAGUGAACUUUGGUUUUAGUAAGUUUCCAUGGGUGAACUAUCAAGAUGGCAAUCUCAACAUUUCUAUUCCAGUUUUUAGUGUUCAUGGUAAUCACGAUGAUCCCACAGGGGCAGAUGCUCUCUGUGCCUUGGAUAUUUUGAGUUGUGCAGGAUUGGUGAAUCACUUUGGACGUUCAAUGUCUGUAGAAAAAAUAGACAUUAGUCCUAUUUUACUUCGAAAAGGCAGUACAAAAAUUGCUCUUUAUGGGUUAGGCUCUAUUCCUGAUGAAAGAUUAUAUCGAAUGUUUGUCAAUAAACAAGUAACAAUGUUGAGACCAAAGGAAGAAGAGAAUAGUUGGUUUAAUUUGUUUGUGAUUCAUCAAAACAGAAGUAAACAUGGAGCCACAAACUACAUUCCAGAACAGUUUUUAGAUGAUUUUAUAGAUCUUGUUAUUUGGGGUCAUGAACAUGAGUGUAAAAUAGCACCAACCAAAAAUGAGCAGCAGCUCUUCUAUGUUUCACAACCUGGAAGUUCAGUGGUUACUUCCCUUUCCCCAGGAGAGGCUGUAAAAAAACAUGUUGGCUUACUGCGCAUUAAGGGAAGAAAAAUGAACAUGCAAAAAAUUCCUUUAAAGACAGUACGGCAGUUUUUCAUAGAGGAUAUUGUACUUGCAGAUCAUCCAAAUAUUUUUAAUCCAAAUAGUCUUAAAGUAACCCAAGCAAUACAAAAUUUUUGUUUGGAAAAGGUUGAAGAAAUGCUUGAAAAUGCUGAGAGAGAACGUCUGGGAAAUCCCCGGCAGCCAGAAAAACCUCUCAUAAGAUUAAGAGUUGAUUAUACAGGAGGAUUUGAACCGUUCAGUGUUCUUCGCUUUAGCCAAAAGUUUGUUGAUCGGAUAGCUAAUCCAAAAGAUGUUAUUCAUUUUUUCAGACAUAGAGAGCAAAAGGAAAAAACAGGAGAAGAGAUCAAUUUUGGGGAACUUAUUACAAAACCUCCUUCAGAAGGACCUACUAUAAGGGUAGAAGAUCUUGUGAAGCAGUAUUUUCAGACUGCAGAGAAAAAACUGCAGCUUUCCCUUCUAACAGAGCGGGGUAUGGGUGAAGCUGUGCAAGAGUUUGUGGACAAAGAAGAGAAGGAUGCUAUAGAGGAACUGGUAAAAUACCAAUUGGAAAAAACACAGAGAUUUCUUAAAGAACGUCACAUUGAUGCAGCAGAAGAUAAAAUUGAUGAAGAGGUACGUCAUUUCAGAGAAAGCAGAAAAAAGAAUACUACUGAGGAAGAGGAAGAGGUUCGAGAGGCAAUGAAUAGAGCCAGGGCCCAUAGAGCCGAGUCAGAAGAUUUAUCUUCAGAAUUUAGUGUUGAUGACCUUGCCAGCAUAGAUAUGGCAGAACAAAUGGCCAACGAUUCAGAUGACAGCAUCUCAGCAACAUCCAACAAAGGAAGAGGCCGAGGGAGGGGUCGAAGAGGUGGAAGAGGACAGAAUUCAGCAGCAAGAGGGAAUUCUCGCAGAGGAAGAGGAAGCACUCAGGAGACGUCUGUUCGAAGCCGGGGUUCUAAAACCUUUUCAUCUUCACCAACAAAAAACAUGUCUAUCAUUGAUGCCUUUAAAUCUGCACGACAACAACCUACUCGUAGUGCCACCACUAAGAAUUACUCAGAGGUUAUUGAAGAUGAUGAUUCUGACAUGAAUGAUGACUUUUUCCCUACGACUUCUAAAGUAGAUAAAAAGUUCUCAAGCAUCUCAUUUAGCAGAAAAAGUUCCCAGAGCCAGACAGCUAAAGGAGUUGAUUUUGAAUCAGAUGAGAAAAGAAGUACCUGCUAUGUGGGAGGGCAGCCAGGUCAACAAGCAUUGAUUAAUCGCCUACUAUAUGCCAGGCACUGUGCUGGACUUACAAAGAAAGGCAGAAAAGAGCCCCUACUUUCAAGGAACUGACAGUGCAGUGGAGGAGACAAAAUAUAAACAAACCAGAUACAUACAGGAUCUAUUGGAGACAGUGACAAAGGGAAGAAAGCAUCAUUACAAAGAAGUCUAGAAAAACUUCAUGUAGAGGAUGAUGAUGAUCCCUUUAUGAACAUGAAUUUAUCCAGAAGAAACAGAAGAUAAUUUCUGUCAGCUUUUUGUUGAUGGCACUUUUCUGAAAUGCUCAGGAUUCAUGAAACAAUCAGAAAACAUUACAGAUAUUAUGCAUUUGCAUAUAUUUCUUAAAGACUACUUGUUAAACAUUUUCUUUUAAAAUUGUAUUGUGGUCAAUAGCAGUGGAAUAUUUUGAAGUAAAAGGAUGAUUAUUAAAGCUACUAGGGUAUAAAAGUCUAUAUUUUUAAAAUAUUUCCUAUGGUUCAAAUCAACAUUGUUUUUUAAUGUUGUUAUCAGGAUGUUACUACUCUCUGGGAAUACAGUAACUCAUUAUAAAAUAAUAGCAUUUACCUAAUAUACAUAUGUGUGUGUGUGUGUAUAUAUGUUUAUAUAUAUAUAUGUGCGCACACAUAUAUGAGCAUAUAGAUUAAUGUGUUAGAGAAUAUCUUUAUUUUGUUCUUGGAAUGUUAGUUGUGAGAAGGAAGCUUAAAAAUAUCAAUUUGUAUUUCUACUCUGAAACAAUAAAAAAAUUGUUAGAAUUCCCAGAUGUAACUAUAGUCUGAAAAAAUUAGUUUAUAAAUUUUCUUUUCAUAAUUCAAAUUAGAUUAAUUUAUUGGGCUCCUACUAGUAAAAUUAAAUGGGCCAAAAAACAAGCAACAAAUACCAGGGUCCAGUCUCCCUUUCUGUUUUGAAUUGUUUUUCU